UUGCUUCAGCAGCACAUAUACUAAAACUGGAACAAUAUAGAGAAGAUUAGCAUGGCUCCUGUAUAAGGAUGACACACAAACUCAUGAAGCAUUCCAUAUUUUU
rnacentral:snRNA from 1 species